UAACCCCUUCUCACUUUGCUAGCAGAGUACUUUUGAUGUACCUGUUGGUCAUUCAGAUGGGGAAAAGUGAGCAUCCAUUUUAAAACCCAAGCAUGCUGGUUUGUAUGGCUUGGUUCCUGUCAUUGGAAACAUUU